rnacentral:lncRNA from 1 species
AUGGGGGGGGUGCUUUGGGGCUGGGGGCCGGGGUUAUGCGGGGCCAGGCGUUGGAGCGAGGCGGGAAUGCGGCGUUCUCUGACUCAUCGGCAUUUCUCAGAAGCAGCCGGGAGACACUUGCCCCAUCCCUGCGGGCCCGGAGCCCGGCACAACGCGGCCGGUUCCCCUGCGGGGACGUGGCGGGGUCCGGGGGGGACCCCCGGGCACUGGGGGUUUGGGGACCGACUGCCCCCAGCCCCCCCCCCACCCCCUCCCGGCAGGGCUGUCCCCGCUCCCAGCCCCUGCGGCGCAGCGGGUUGGGAGGGACAGGGUCCUCCCCGGCCGGCCGUGGGCGGCCGAGCAGGCGGCUGGGUGGGACGUGUUUGCAUUGGAGCGGCCUGGUUUUGCCGGGGGGGGGUGGCAGCGGCGUGGGGGCGGGUGCUGGGAGCCCCAGAGCUGCGUUCCUGCAGCUUCCAGCCGCCCUGCUGCCUGGGGUAUUGGGGAGGUGGGGGAGCCGUGGGGUUGCCGGGACCCCCACCACCACCACCACCACCCCCCCCAGGGGAGGAAGGGGUUGCUGUGGGUGCUGCGGGAAGCGCCCGGCGCUGGACUCGGCGUGGGUUUGGGGCUCUCUGGUUUCUCCCAGCGCCGGCGAGGGGUCAGGCAGGGCGCCCAGGCAGGUGUGAGUCAGAUGCAGCCGCGAGGCCGCCUCGGGCACCCGCUGACGUCAGGGGGCCCCCAGGAGGCGCGCGGGGCUCCCCGCGGGCUGAGCGAGCCCUCGCUGUGCUGGGGGGGGGGAAAUGGGAUGGAGAGAGGGCGGUGGUGGUGCUGGGAUCAGGAAGGGGGGGCUCUGUGUGCCCCCUGCUUGUGGGAACGCUGCGAGCAGACCCCGCUCCCUGGGGGCCACCGUGGGGCCGGGGAGGUUUCGGUGGCCAAGCAGGGGCAGCGGUGGCCGAUGGCUGGGGGCAGCGUUCAGGGGUUGGAGCUGCUGGCCCCGUGUGCUCCAUCCUAAACCCUCCAUAA